UACGGGGGGGGCAAGCGUUGUUCGGAAUUACUGGGCGUAAAGGGUUUGUAGGUGGCCGGCUAAGUCAGACGUGAAAUCCCUCAGCUUAACUGGGGAACUGCGUCUGAAACUGAUCGGCUCGAGUGCAGGAGAGGAAAGCGGAAUUCCAGGUGUAGCGGUGAAAUGCGUAGAUAUCUGGAGGAACACCGGUGGCGAAGGCGGCAUCCUGGACCGGCAUUGACGCUGAGGAGCGAAAGCUAGGGGAGCAAACGGG
rnacentral:rRNA from 1 species